GAUGAACGCUGGCGGCGUGCCUAAUACAUGCAAGUCGAGCGAACGGACGAGAAGCUUGCUUCUCUGAUGUUAGCGGCGGACGGGUGAGUAACACGUGGAUAACCUACCUAUAAGACUGGGAUAACUUCGGGAAACCGUAGCUAAUACCGGAUAAUAUUUUGAACCGCAUGGUUCAAAAGUGAAAGACGAUCUUGCUGUCACUUAUAGAUGGAUCCGCGCUGCAUUAGCUAGUUGGUAAGGUAACGGCUUACCAAGGCAACGAUGCAUAGCCGACCUGAGAGGGUGAUCGGCCACACUGGAACUGAGACACGGUCCAGACUCCUACGGGAGGCAGCAGUAGGGAAUCUUCCGCAAUGGGCGAAAGCCUGACGGAGCAACGCCGCGCGAGUGAUGAAGGUCUUCGGAUCGUAAAACUCUGUUAUUAGGGAAGAACAUAUGUGUAAGUAACUGUGCACAUCUUGACGGUACCUAAUCAGAAAGCCACGGCUAACUACGUG
rnacentral:rRNA from 1 species